AACAUCUAAGUACCCCGAGGAAAAGAAAUCAACCGAGAUUCCCCCAGUAGCGGCGAGCGAACGGGGAGGAGCCCAGAGCCUGAAUCAGCAUGUGUGUUAGUGGAAGCGUCUGGAAAGGCGCGCGAUACAGGGUGACAGCCCCGUACACAAAAGCGCAUGUGCUGUGAGCUCGAUGAGUAGGGCGGGACACGUGGUAUCCUGUCUGAAUAUGGGGGGACCAUCCUCCAAGGCUAAAUACUCCUGACUGACCGAUAGUGAACCAGUACCGUGAGGGAAAGGCGAAAAGAACCCCGGCGAGGGGAGUGAAAAAGAACCUGAAACCGUGUACGUACAAGCAGUGGGAGCCCCACCACCAAAGCAUUCUCUGGUGUUGAAGGCCCUGCAAAGCAGCAUCGCGGUGGCGGAGCGUCGUUUGCGACGCCCAACACACAAAACAAGCGGUGAGUGCUUUGGGGUGGGGUGACUGCGUACCUUUUGUAUAAUGGGUCAGCGACUUAUAUUCUGUAGCAAGGUUAACCGAAUAGGGGAGCCGGAGGGAAACCGAGUCUUAAUUGGGCGUUAAGUUGCAGGGUAUAGACCCGAAACCCGGUGAUCUAGCCAUGGGCAGGUUGAAGGUUGGGUAACACUAACUGGAGGACCGAACCGACUAAUGUUGAAAAAUUAGCGGAUGACCUGUGGCUGGGGGUGAAAGGCCAAUCAAACCGGGAGAUAGCUGGUUCUCCCCGAAAGCUAUUUAGGUAGCGCCUCGUGAAUUCAUCUCCGGGGGUAGAGCACUGUUUCGGCUAGGGGGCCAUCCCGGCUUACCAACCCGAUGCAAACUGCGAAUACCGGAGAAUGUUAUCACGGGAGACACACGGCGGGUGCUAACGUCCGUCGUGAAGAGGGAAACAACCCAGACCGCCAGCUAAGGUCCCAAAGUCAUGGUUAAGUGGGAAACGAUGUGGGAAGGCCCAGACAGCCAGGAUGUUGGCUUAGAAGCAGCCAUCAUUUAAAGAAAGCGUAAUAGCUCACUGGUCGAGUCGGCCUGCGCGGAAGAUGUAACGGGGCUAAACCAUGCACCGAAGCUGCGGCAGCGACGCUGAUGCGUUGUUGGGUAGGGGAGCGUUCUGUAAGCCUGUGAAGGUGGCCUGUGAGGGUUGCUGGAGGUAUCAGAAGUGCGAAUGCUGACAUAAGUAACGAUAAAGCGGGUGAAAAGCCCGCUCGCCGGAAGACCAAGGGUUCCUGUCCAACGUUAAUCGGGGCAGGGUGAGUCGACCCCUAAGGCGAGGCCGAAAGGCGUAGUCGAUGGGAAACGGGUUAAUAUUCCCGUACUUGGUGUUACUGCGAAGGGGGGACGGAGAAGGCUAUGUUGGCCGGGCGACGGUUGUCCCGGUUUAAGCGUGUAGGUGUGUGUUCCAGGUAAAUCCGGUUCACUUUAACACUGAGGCGUGAUGACGAGGCACUACGGUGCUGAAGCAACAAAUGCCCUGCUUCCAGGAAAAGCCUCUAAGCAUCAGGUAACAUCAAAUCGUACCCCAAACCGACACAGGUGGUCAGGUAGAGAAUACCAAGGCGCUUGAGAGAACUCGGGUGAAGGAACUAGGCAAAAUGGUGCCGUAACUUCGGGAGAAGGCACGCUGACACGUAGGUGAAGUGAUUUACUCACGGAGCUGAAGUCAGUCGAAGAUACCAGCUGGCUGCAACUGUUUAUUAAAAACACAGCACUGUGCAAACACGAAAGUGGACGUAUACGGUGUGACGCCUGCCCGGUGCCGGAAGGUUAAUUGAUGGGGUCAGCGCAAGCGAAGCUCCUGAUCGAAGCCCCGGUAAACGGCGGCCGUAACUAUAACGGUCCUAAGGUAGCGAAAUUCCUUGUCGGGUAAGUUCCGACCUGCACGAAUGGCGUAAUGAUGGCCAGGCUGUCUCCACCCGAGACUCAGUGAAAUUGAACUCGCUGUGAAGAUGCAGUGUACCCGCGGCAAGACGGAAAGACCCCGUGAACCUUUACUAUAGCUUGACACUGAACAUUGAGCCUUGAUGUGUAGGAUAGGUGGGAGGCUUUGAAGUGUGGACGCCAGUCUGCAUGGAGCCGACCUUGAAAUACCACCCUUUAAUGUUU
rnacentral:rRNA from 1 species